rnacentral:rRNA from 1 species
CAGUAGCCGCGGUAAUACGAAGGGGGCUAGCGUUGUUCGGAUUUACUGGGCGUAAAGCGCACGUAGGCGGAUCCUUAAGUCAGAGGUGAAAUCCCAAGGCUCAGCCUUGGAACUGCCUUUGAUACUGGGGAUCUCGAGUUCGGGAGAGGUGAGUGGAACUGCGAGUGUAGAGGUGAAAUUCGUAGAUAUUCGCAAGAACACCAGUGGCGAAGGCGGCUCACUGGCCCGAUACUGACGCUGAAGUGCGAAAGCGUGGGGAGCAAACAGGAUUAGAUACCCCCGUAGUCCCUGUCUCUUAUAC